GAAGUAAAAGUCGUAACAAGGUCUCCGUUGGUGAACCAGCGGAGGGAUCAUUACAGAGUUGCAAAACUCCAAACCAUUGUGAACUUACCUUUGCCGUUGCUUCGGCGGGCGGCCCGGGCCCUGUGCCCGGCGCCCCUCGGCCCCACUCGGGGCGCCCGCCGGAGGUAAACCAAACUCUUGAAUUGUAUGGCCUCUCUGAGUCUUCUGUACUGAAUAAGUCAAAACUUUCAACAACGGAUCUCUUGGUUCUGGCAUCGAUGAAGAACGCAGCGAAAUGCGAUAAGUAAUGUGAAUUGCAGAAUUCAGUGAAUCAUCGAAUCUUUGAACGCACAUUGCGCCCGCCAGUAUUCUGGCGGGCAUGCCUGUUCGAGCGUCAUUUCAACCAUCAAGCCCCGGGCUUGUGUUGGGGACCUGCGGCUGCCGCAGGCCCUGAAAACCAGUGGCGGGCUCGCUAGUCACUCCGAGCGUAGUAGUUUACACCUCGCUCAGGGCGUGCUGCGGGUUCCGGCCGUUAAAAGCCUUAUUUUACCCAAGGUUGACCUCGGAUCAGGUAGGAAGACCCGCUGAACUUAAGCAUAUCAAUAAGCGGAGG
rnacentral:rRNA from 1 species